AUGUGGUUGUGCCAUGGUGGCGAAGUCGCACUUCCUGUAGCAGAGGUACUUCAAGAUCUCGUGCAAUGGCAGAUGGUUGCCAGAGUUGGCAUGGAGGAGAGCUAUGAGGCCGUGCAAGGAGCAAGUGACCACCCUGAGCAUGGUGAAGGUGUCAAGGAUGUCAUGCGCCCGUGUCCCACGAUCAGCCACAGGGAGCGGGAACUUUCCAUCAUACCAGACGGUGCUGAGGAUGAUGUUGGAGACAGUGUCCAUUGGGGCAUAGCAGUGGCCGACGAGGAGCACACCGCGUACGUGGUGAUGCGCGGCGUAUCAUGGCAGCACGGCGAGCACCCUGAUGUAGAAGCCAUGGAUGGUGCCCAGGAGGGACAUCUCCAGAGACCGUACAUACGGGCAUUGUAG
rnacentral:rRNA from 1 species